rnacentral:rRNA from 1 species
AACGAACGCUGGCGGCAGGCUUAACACAUGCAAGUCGAACGCCCCGCAAGGGGAGUGGCAGACGGGUGAGUAACGCGUGGGAAUCUACCCAGAACUUCGGAACAACUGAGGGAAACUUCAGCUAAUACCGGAUACGCCCUACGGGGGAAAGAUUUAUCGGUGCUGGAUGAGCCCGAGUAAGAUUAGCUAGUUGGUGAGGUAAUGGCUCACCAAGGCGACGAUCUUUAGCUGGUCUGAGAGGAUGAUCAGCCACACUGGGACUGAGACACGGCCCAGACUCCUACGGGAGGCAGCAGUGGGGAAUAUUGGACAAUGGGCGAAAGCCUGAUCCAGCCAUGCCGCGUGAGUGAUGAAGGCCUUAGGGUUGUAAAGCUCUUUCAGUGGGGAAGAUAAUGACGGUACCCACAGAAGAAGCCCCGGCUAACUUCGUGCCAGCCGCCGCCGUAAGAC